CUAACGCUCGAACCCGUGCUGGUGCGGCUAGCGUAUUAACAGGUGUGACGCAGGAAGGUAGCUGAGCCAGGCGAUGGUUGUCCUGGUGUAAGGACGUAGGGCGAGAGAUAGGCAAAUCCGUCUCUCACAUAGCCUGAGAUUCGAUGCGUACCCCUCACGGGGGAAAUCAGUGAUCCUAUGCUGCCGAGAAAAGCAUCGACGCGAGGUUCUAGCCGCCCGUACCCCAAACCGACUCAGGUGGUCAGGUAGAGAAUACCAAGGAGAUCGAGAGAAUCGUGGUUAAGGAACUCGGCAAAAUGCCCCCGUAACUUCGGGAGAAGGGGGGCCUAAGGCGUGUACGGACUUGCUCCGGAAGCGCUGCAGGGCCGCAGAGACCAGUGGGAAGCGACUGUUUACUAAAAACACAGGUCCGUGCGAAGUCGCAAGACGAUGUAUACGGACUGACGCCUGCCCGGUGCUGGAAGGUUAAGAGGAAGGGUUAGCUUCGGCGAAGCUCUGAAUUUAAGCCCCAGUAAACGGCGGUGGUAACUAUAACCAUCCUAAGGUAGCGAAAUUCCUUGUCGGGUAAGUUCCGACCUGCACGAAUGGCGUAACGACUUCCCAGCUGUCUCAACCGCGAACUCGGCGAAAUUGCACUACGAGUAAAGAUGCUCGUUACGCGCAGCAGGACGGAAAGACCCCGUGACCUUUACUACAGCUUGGUAUUGGUGUUCGGUGUGGCUUGUGUAGGAUAGGUGGGAGACUAUGAAGCUGGCACGCUAGUGUCGGUGGAGUCGUUGUUGAAAUACCACUCUGGUCACUCUGGAUGUCUAACUACGAACCGUAAUCCGGUUCUGGGACAGUGCCUGGUGGGUAGUUUAACUGGGGCGGUUGCCUCCCAAAAAGUAACGGAGGCGCCCAAAGGUUCCCUCAACCUGGUUGGCAAUCAGGUGUCGAGUGUAAGUGCACAAGGGAGCUUGACUGUGAGAGUGACGGCUCGAGCAGGGACGAAAGUCGGGACUAGUGGUCCGGCAGUGGCUUGUGGAAGCGCUGUCGCUCAACGGAUAAAAGGUACCUCGGGGAUAACAGGCUGAUCUUGCCCAAGAGUCCAUAUCGACGGCAUGGUUUGGCACCUCGAUGUCGGCUCGUCGCAUCCUGGGGCUGGAGUAGGUCCCAAGGGUUGGGCUGUUCGCCCAUUAAAGCGGUACGCGAGCUGGGUUUAGAACGUCGUGAGACAGUUCGGUCCCUAUCCGCUGCGCGCGUAGGAAAUUUGAGAAGAUCUAUCCCUAGUACGAGAGGACCGGGAUGGACGAACCUCUGGUGUGUCAGUUGUUCUGCCAAGAGCACCGCUGAUUAGCUACGUUCGGAACGGAUAACCGCUGAAAGCAUCUAAGCGGGAAGCCGGCUUCAAGAUGAGAUUUCCAUCCCUUAGGGGGAGAGGCUCGCAGCUAGACUACUGCGUUGAUAGGCCGGAUGUGGAAGUGGGGACUAAAGACCCAUGGAGCUGACCGGUACUAAUAAGCCGAUAACUUGAU
rnacentral:rRNA from 1 species